GGGGAAUAUUGGACAAUGGGCGAAAGCCUGAUCCAGCCAUGCCGCGUGUGUGAAGAAGGCCUUUUGGUUGUAAAGCACUUUAAGCGAGGAGGAGGCUACUUAGAUUAAUACUCUAGGAUAGUGGACGUUACUCGCAGAAUAAGCACCGGCUAACUCUGUGCCAGCAGCCGCGGUAAUACAGAGGGUGCGAGCGUUAAUCGGAUUUACUGGGCGUAAAGCGUGCGUAGGCGGCUUUUUAAGUCGGAUGUGAAAUCCCUGAGCUUAACUUAGGAAUUGCAUUCGAUACUGGGAAGCUAGAGUAUGGGAGAGGAUGGUAGAAUUCCAGGUGUAGCGGUGAAAUGCGUAGAGAUCUGGAGGAAUACCGAUGGCGAAGGCAGCCAUCUGGCCUAAUACUGACGCUGAGGUACGAAAGCAUGGGGAGCAAACAGGAUUAGAUACCCUGGUAGUCCAUGCCGUAAACGAUGUCUACUAGCCGUUGGGGCCUUUGAGGCUUUAGUGGCGCAGCUAACGCGAUAAGUAGACCGCCUGGGGAGUACGGUCGCAAGACUAAAACUCAAAUGAAUUGACGGGGGCCCGCACAAGCGGUGGAGCAUGUGGUUUAAUUCGAUGCAACGCGAAGAACCUUACCUGGUCUUGACAUAGUAAGAACUUUCCAGAGAUGGAUUGGUGCCUUCGGGAACUUACAUACAGGUGCUGCAUGGCUGUCGUCAGCUCGUGUCGUGAGAUGUUGGGUUAAGUUCCC
rnacentral:rRNA from 1 species